UAGGCAUCCGAACUCUGAAAUCAGAACCCUGCGUCUCGGGGCUUCCUCCAACCCCGCUAUGUGAACCAGGCCUCCAGGAGUUCCUAAUGCGCAGGCUUGAGAGGCACUGCUUGCAUUUCUGAGAUUUGAGGGUGUUGGGGAGGGGUAGCUGGAGCCAGGAGGGCCGGAGACAGUGGAGCAUGGAUUUGGCAGAGAUAGAAAAGGGUUGAGGCAGCCAGAGAGAAAGAGACGUUGGCGAAAUUGCAGGGAUGUUUAAACAGCAUGUUUAGGGCAUGGAGGAGGCCUCGGUCUCCCAACACAAACAAGGAGACAGAGUCUCGAUAUGUCGCCAAGCUUGGUCUCAAACUCCAAGGCUCAAGUGCUCAAGUGAUCCACCCACCUCGACCUCCCAAAGUGCUGGGAUUACAG
rnacentral:lncRNA from 10 species